rnacentral:rRNA from 1 species
UACAGGGGGUGCAAACGUUGCUCGGAAUCAUUGGGCGCAAAGCGCACGUAGGCGGUUCGUUAUGUCGGAUGUGAAAGCCCUUGGCUUAACCGAGGAAGUGCAUCCGAAACUGGCGAGCUAGAGUACGAAAGAGGAUCGCGGAAUUCCCGGUGUAGAGGUGAAAUUCGUAGAUAUCGGGAGGAACACCGGUGGCGAAGGCGGCGACCUGGUCCUUUACUGACGCUGAGGCGCGAAAGCGUGGGGAGCAAACAGG